rnacentral:rRNA from 1 species
GAUGAACGCUGGCGGCGUGCCUAAUACAUGCAAGUCGAGCGAACAGACGAGGAGCUUGCUCCUCUGACGUUAGCGGCGGACGGGUGAGUAACACGUGGAUAACCUACCUAUAAGACUGGGAUAACUUCGGGAAACCGGAGCUAAUACCGGAUAAUAUAUUGAACCGCAUGGUUCAAUAGUGAAAGACGGUUUUGCUGUCACUUAUAGAUGGAUCCGCGCCGCAUUAGCUAGUUGGUAAGGUAACGGCUUACCAAGGCAACGAUGCGUAGCCGACCUGAGAGGGUGGUCGGCCACACUGGAACUUGAACACGGUCCAGACUCCUACGGGAGGCAGCAGUAGGGAAUCUUCCGCAAAGGGCGAAAGCCUGACGGAGCAACGCCGCGUGAGUGAUGAAGGUCUUCGGAUCGUAAAACUCUGUUAUUAGGGAAGAACAAAUGUGUAAGUAACUAUGCACGUCUUGACGGUACCUAAUCAGAAAGCCACGGCUAACUACGUG